CAACCUGGCGGCGUGGAUAAGACAUGCAAGUCGGACGAGAUUUCGUCCUGUAGCAAUACAGGGCGAAGUCUAGUGGCGAACGGGUGCUUAACACGUGGGCAAUCUGUCUUAAAGUGGGGGAUAGCUCGGCGAAAGCCGAAUUAAUACCGCAUGUGAUUAGAGUGGACAUCCAUUCAAAAUCAAAGGUGGCGCAAGCUACCGCUUUUUGAGGAGCCCGCGGCCUAUCAGCUAGUUGGUGAGGUAACGGCUCACCAAGGCUUUGACGGGUAGCUGGUCUGAGAGGACGACCAGCCACACUGGGACUGAGACACGGCCCAGACACCUACGGGUGGCAGCAGUCGAGAAUUUUUCUCAAUGGGGGAAACCCUGAAGGAGCGACGCCGCGUGGAGGAUGAAGGUCUUCGGAUUGUAAACUCCUGUCAUUGGGGAACAAGUCGCUUACGUUAACUGCGUGAGCGUUGAUAGUACCCGAAGAGGAAGAGACGGCUAACUCUGUGCCAGCAGCCGCGGUAAUACAGAGGUCUCAAGCGUUGUUCGGAUUCAUUUGGGCGUAAAGGGUUGCGUAGGCGGCGCGGUAAGUCGGGUGUGAAAUCUCGGAGCUUAACUCCCGAAACUGNAUUCNAUACUGGCCGUGCUCGAGGACUGGAAAAGGAAACUGGAAUUUACGGUGGUACCGGUG
rnacentral:rRNA from 1 species